rnacentral:rRNA from 1 species
GACGAACGCUGGCGGCGUGCUUAACACAUGCAAGUCGUACGGUAAGGCCCUUUCGGGGGUACACGAGUGGCGAACGGGUGAGUAACACGUGAGUAACCUGCCCACAACUUUGGGAUAACGCUAGGAAACUGGUGCUAAUACUGGAUAUGUGCUCCUGCUGCAUGGUGGGGGUUGGAAGGCUCCUGCGGUUGUGGAUGGACUCGCGGCCUAUCAGCUUGUUGGUGGGGUAGUGGCCUACCAAGGCGGCGACGGGUAGCCGGCCUGAGAGGGUGACCGGCCACAUUGGGACUGAGAUACGGCCCAGACUCCUACGGGAGGCAGCAGUGGGGAAUAUUGCACAAUGGGCGCAAGCCUGAUGCAGCAACGCCGCGGGCGGGAUGACGGCCUUCGGGUUGUAAACCGCUUUCAGCAGGGACGAAGCUUUUUGUGACGGUACCUGCAGAAGAAGCACCGGCUAACUACGUG